UGCCAGCUGGGCCAGCCCAUUCAAACCGCAGGGAGUUUCAAAUGGCUGUGUCCCCUAGGGACUGGGCUUAGCAAGCCCAGGGGGAAAAGUCAGCAUUCAAAUGGCUUCGAUGACGAUGACGCAGAGGAAGCCAAGAGGACGCUGUCAAAGCCUAGUCAUCAUUGACUCGAAGUUUCACUGGACCAUCUCAUGGAUACCAAAUCUUCCUCUACCACCUUGAUGAGCCCCACUUCCUCCCCUCAGAGCAGAAGGAACACUUGGGACUAGAAGCCGCUUGUAUAAUUUCUUUGUCACUCAUUUUGUUUCCCAGUCUUGGGAUUUUGUGUGCUUCAGCUUUCUCCCUUCCUCCCUUCCUCUCUUUCUUCUCCUCUCCCCACCCCCCAACCCCAGGAAUUCACUCUGUAACCACGGGAGGGAGAAGAGUUUGGCUGCUAUGUGAUGAAGGGAGUCUGAGAUACAGGCUCCCAGUCCUC
rnacentral:lncRNA from 1 species